rnacentral:rRNA from 1 species
UACGUAGGGGGCAAGCGUUGUCCGGAAUUAUUGGGCGUAAAGAGCGCGUAGGCGGUCCGGUAAGUCGGUUGUGAAAGUCGGGGGCUCAACCCUCGGAUGCCGAUCGAUACUGUCGGGCUAGAGUCCGGAAGAGGCGAGUGGAAUUCCUGGUGUAGCGGUGAAAUGCGCAGAUAUCAGGAGGAACACCAAUGGCGAAGGCGACACGCUGGGCCGUACCUGACGCUAAAGCGCGACAGCAUGGGGAGCAAACGGG